rnacentral:rRNA from 1 species
UACGUAGGGGGCAAGCGUUGUCCGGAAUCAUUGGGCGUAAAGAGCGUGUAGGCGGCCCGGUAAGUCCGCUGUGAAAGUCGAGGGCUCAACCCUCGAAUGCCGGCGGAUACUGUCGGGCUCGAGUCCGGAAGAGGCGAGUGGAAUUCCUGGUGCAGCGGUGAAAUGCGCAGAUAUCAGGAGGAACACCAAUGGCGAAGGCAGCUCGCUGGGACGUGACUGACGCUGAGACGCGAAAGCGUGGGGAGCAAACAGG